rnacentral:rRNA from 1 species
UACGGGAGGCAGCAGUGGGGAAUUUUGGACAAUGGGCGCAAGCCUGAUCCAGCCAUGCCGCGUGCGGGAAGAAGGCCUUCGGGUUGUAAACCGCUUUUGUCAGGGAAGAAAAGGUUCUGGCUAAUACCUAGGGCUCAUGACGGUACCUGAAGAAUAAGCACCGGCUAACUACGUGCCAGCAGCCGCGGUAAUACGUAGGGUGCAAGCGUUAAUCGGAAUUACUGGGCGUAAAGCGUGCGCAGGCGGUUAUGCAAGACAGAGGUGAAAUCCCCGGACUCAACCUGGGAACUGCCUUUGUGACUGCAUGGCUAGAGUGCGGCAGAGGGGGAUGGAAUUCCGCGUGUAGCAGUGAAAUGCGUAGAUAUGCGGAGGAACACCGAUGGCGAAGGCAAUCCCCUGGGCCUGCACUGACGCUCAUGCACGAAAGCGUGGGGAGCAAACAGGAUUAGAUACCCUGGUAGUCCACGCCCUAAACGAUGUCAACUGGUUGUUGGGAGGGUUUCUUCUCAGUAACGUAGCUAACGCGUGAAGUUGACCGCCUGGGGAGUACGGCCGCAAGGU